rnacentral:rRNA from 1 species
UGGGGAAUAUUGCACAAUGGGCGAAAGCCUGAUGCAGCAACGUCGCGUGAGCGAUGAAGGCCUUCGGGUCGUAAAGCUCUGUCCUCAAGGAAGAUAAUGACGGUACUUGAGGAGGAAGCCCCGGCUAACUACGUG